UACAUGUGGGGCAAGCGUUGUUCGGAAUUACUGGGCAUAAAGGGUGCGUAGGUGGCUUGUUAAGUCAGGGGUGAAAGUUUUCGGCCCAACCGGAAAAUGGCCUUUGAUACUGGCGAGCUCGAGUGCGUGAGGGGUAACCGGAACGAGCAGUGUAGCGGUGAAAUGCAUAGAUAUGUCACAGAACACCGAUUGCGAAGGCAGCUUACUAUGGUAUUAUUGACGCUGAGGCACGAAAGCGUGGGGAUCAAACAGG
rnacentral:rRNA from 1 species